rnacentral:tmRNA from 1 species
GGGGAUGAUCGGUUUCGACAGCGGCUGUCGAAACAGGGGAAGCGUGUCGAGGAAGCGGCCAUGAUCUCGUAAACCACAGGCCGAAAAAAAUAAUCGCCAACACCAAGCGCGAUUCCUCCCAGCAGGCCUUCGCCCUCGCUGCCUGAUAGGCAGCGCGAGCGGGCCUCCUACUAAGGGAGUGUCAGCCCGGGGCUGUUCCCGACCCGGAUCCUGGCAUCAGCUAGGGGACUCAACCUCCAGCCCGGUCACGGGGUGAAGAGGGAAACCACACAGUGACUGAGCCCGUCGGAGACUUGUCCGCGUGAUCUCCGGGGCUGAGAAAAGCACAGCGGACUGCACACGGAGAAGCCCUGGUUCCGCACCGUUGGACGCGGGUUCGAUUCCCGCCAUCUCCACCA